GCCUGUGUGGUCCAGUGGUGAGAGCAUCAGCCUGUGCAGGAAAGGCUCAUGGGUUCAAGUCCCAGUCAAGGGCA
rfam:Myotis davidii contig324343, whole genome shotgun sequence.